rnacentral:misc_RNA from 1 species
GAUGAAGAACGCAGUGAAAUGCGAUACGUAAUGUGAAUUGCAGAAUUCAGUGAAUCAUCGAGUCUUUGAACGCACAUUGCGCCCCCUGGUAUUCCGGGGGGCAUGCCUGUCCGAGCGUCAUUGCUGCCCUCAAGCCCGGCUUGUGUGUUGGGUCUCGUCCCCCUUCCCGGGGGGACGGGCCCGAAAGGCAGCGGCGGCACCGCGUCCGGUCCUCGAGCGGAUGGGGCUUUGUCACCCGCUCUGUAGGCCCGGCCGGCGCUUGCCGAUCAACCAAAACUUUUUUCCAGGUUGACCUCGGAUCAGGUAGGGAUACCCGCUGAACUUAAGCAUAUCAAUAAGCGGAGGA